rnacentral:rRNA from 1 species
CCUGGUUGAUCCUGCCAGUAGUCAUAUGCUUGUCUCAAAGACUAAGCCAUGCAUGUCUAAGUAUAAAUGGUAUACAGUAAAACUGCGAAUGGCUCAUUAAAACAGUUAUAGUUUAUUUGGUAAUCGAAUUUACAUGGAUAACCGUGGUAAUUCUAGAGCUAAUACAUGCUGUAAAGCCCGACUUCUCGGAAGGGCCGUAUUUAUUAGAUAACAGACCAGCAGCUUCGGCUAUUGUGGUGAAUCAUAGUAACUAAUCGGAUCGCAUGGGCUACGCCCGCGACAAACCAUUCAAGUUUCUGCCCCAUCAGCUUUCGAUGGUAGUGUAUUGGACUACCAUGGCUUUUACGGGUAACGGAGGAUUAGGGUUCGAUUCCGGAGAGGGAGCCUGAGAAACGGCUACCACAUCUAAGGAAGGCAGCAGGCGCGUAAAUUACCCAAUUCUGAUUCAGAGAGGUAGUGACAAGAAAUAACGGGUCGGGACUUUGUCCCGGGACUGCAAUGAGAUGAACUUAUACCCCUUUUCGAGUAACAAUUGGAGGGCAAGUCUGGUGCCAGCAGCCGCGGUAAUUCCAGCUCCAAUAGCGUAUAUUAAAGUUGUUGCAGUUAAAAAGCUCGUAGUUGGAUUUCUGGCAGGAUAACUUUGCCCUCUGUAGAGUGCGCAAUGGUGUCCUACCAUCCUUCUGUUAACCCUUUCGACCUUUAAAAGUUGGCUGGGGGCUCAGAUAUUUUACCUUGAGAAAAUUAGAGUGUUUCAGGCAGGCUAGCGCCGGAAUACAUUAGCAUGGAAUAAUAGAAUAGGACUUAAGCCUCUUCUGUU